GCUGCCCUGACCGCGUAGAAAACUGCCGGGGCCGCAUUGCAGGAACCCAUCAGGUGGCCCAUGCUCUUGGGGCCACCCGAUGGCAAUGGAUUUCCUGGGGCCCAGUCAGCGCUGCGGCUCUUUAAGAGCACGACCGGGCCCCAGUGAUGAUGUGAGAGCUGGGAGGAAGCCAACAGAGCGCCGCGCAGGAUGCGAGGAGAGAGUCAGAGGCGGAG